CUCAUGUUUAUUUAUAAUUAUUUUUUAAACACUUGCUGAACAGUUCGAUGUUUGCGAUAUACAUUUGUGGUUCAUUUGUUCACUUUCAGGCGUUGCUCUCUGCCUUGCCUUGGUGACUGGAUGUGUUUUCAGCAUUUCCAGUGAAAAGAAUAAAGUCGACUCCACGUCAGAACUAAAUCCUGUCGAAAGAGUUAAUUCCACGACUCUUCAACAUUACCAAAUCAUAAAGAGAAUGAUUCGUUUGGUUCCUAGAAGAAACUGCAACACUUGGUCUCAGUGGAUCAAUGACAACCACCCAUCGUUUUCAAAUAAAACGGACACAGAGUUUGUACCACUGAAGACACGAAAUUCCUUCUGUCCUGUAGCUGUCGGUGGAAAUAUCAGUAAAUUUGAAUGCAAAGAUGAUAAGGGCGAAGCGUUUCAUGGCAACAAAACUCUUCGUGGACUUAAAGGCCAGUUUUAUAUUUUGUGCUAUGAUAUCAAUAUGGGAGUCAAAUGCAUUGCGCUUAAUGCAACAAAAGACCAUUGCCCGGAUAUGUCACUGAGGUACUACUGCAGCUGUCCCACUUCGACAGGUGUAACAACUACUUCAACACUUGCACCGGCAAAAGGAAAAGAGAAUACUACAGUAACCAAAAAUGAAACAGAAAGAAAAGAAGGCUUUCCUUUACUGUGGUGGAUCGUUGUCGCAGUAACAGUUGCUCUCCUGUUUUUGUAUAACACCUGCCUCGCUUUAUGCCUCUACAAGAAAGCCAUGAGGAAAAUUGAAGCAAAGGACAGAAUUACAGCCGUACAUCCACUAUAAAAAUUGGUUGCAAAUAUGAGUUAUAUUUUGCUGCGUACCAUUUACCUGUAUUAUAUAUUUCCGUUACAUUAUAACCACUGUGUAUCAUUAUUUCUUUCUGUUUUCUGUAUCAAACUUAUUUUUUUCUCACUUUUCAAACCAAAUGUUAAGAAUGUAACAGGGUAAUUAAAAUGUCAAACAUUCUUAGUACAAUUAGUAAAAUUGGUCCCAAGACUUAUGCAUUUAAUGGUGACAAUUUAGCUCUAAAGAUAUAACGUAUAACGCAUUGAAUUGCAUAAGUUUGCAAUAGUUAUUAUCCGAAUUAUUUGUCCUGUCAUAGUAAACCAUUUAUCUGAAGAAGCUUUCGUGUGUAUGGGCCCUCCGUAAGGAUUUUAAUUUACCCAACAUACAAAACUUUUUCACCUAUAUAAGAAUACAGUUCGGCAACAAAUGGAGGUUUUAAGAUCGGAUGUAGAAAUCUAGCGGUGUGCCGUAACCAUGGAAAUCGCUACAGAAGCUGAUAAUCGCGGAAACUAAAAAACUUUCUUUUGUCAUAUUUCAAAAAGCAAUGGUAUUAGAAACUUGAUUUUUUCAUAUUUUUAUUAAGUUAUAAAAGGCCUAUUGUUUGGAGUGAUUAUAUUCUAAAUAUCUUAUUAAAUUCUUAAUUGUCGUCAGCACGUGCAAUUUUAGUUAAUAGCAUGUGCAUUCAGUUGUGAACCAACAAGGUGCCUCUUUUAAUCAGAAAAUGUUUUCUGGACUUAAUUACAACUAUGGCUGAUUUUUUGCUUGAAAAUGUUGUAUAAUACGCAUGCAAUUAAAAUUCUAAAAUUUUUGAUACGUCAAUUUAACACCAUUUCAUAUAUUAAUGCAGCGGAUUGCAUGCCAUAUACGUUAUUCAUUCGCUUCCUUUUUCAAUACACAUGAACAAUGAAGUUAGGGAAAAACUCGUUGAAUCUCGGCUUGGAAUAUUUAACAUAUAUAAUAUGAAAAAAAAAUGAUUAUCAAAUUAAUUGUUGGAAAACAUGUGAAUAAAUUAUGUUGUUUUUUGUGACAUUGUUACCUGUCAGUAUUGUAUAGAUACGCUUAACAUAUAAUGCAUGCAUAAAAUUGUUUGUAUUGUUGUUGAUAUUUUUACUAUUACUGUAAGAAUUCAAGUAUUUUAGAUUUCAUACUUCUAUCACUUUAAUAAUUAAUCAUAUAACCGGACUUCUCUCCAUAAUUUAGCGGUACAAUAAUGGGAGUAAACUAAGCCUAGAGUAAAGACUUCCAGUGUUUGUAGAACGGUUCUACCAAAGUGAUGCUAACGUACAUGCUUAUAUGGAAACCUGGUACGCCAUGUUAUUUGUCAAUUGCUAAAUAUCAGAUAACAAUGCUAGAUGCUAAACACCUUAUGCAAAAUGUUUUGAAAACAAAAUGACAUUUAUUAAGUACCAUGGAAGGCUGGAAAGCCGGUGUGCCAUGCUAACUGCCAAAUGCUAAAUGACAACCAGUUAUUGCAAACUGCUAUUUGCUAUAUGCUUAAUGUCAAAUAUUGCCUAUGAAAUGGUACAUUUGUAAUUGUCAAACAAUAAAUGAUAAUUGUUACUUGCAAAUACGAAACAAUAAAUGCCAAAUGCGUAUUGCUAAGUACUUAUUCAUGAAAGAGCUGAAUAUAUUAGUGUAUAAAUGCAUCCCCUAAAUAGUCAUUGGCCUUUGUAACAUAACUUUGUCUCUAUUAAAAAUAUUUCUUAAUAUUUUAGAGUGAAAAGUUUCGAUCAUGUCAUUUCAUAACCCUAAGAACAUGUUAUUGCUUCAAAUCAGGUUGAUAGAACUUCAUAUGGUUUCACGUGAUUAAAAGUAACAGUCAUUAGUAUAAGGGAUACAGAUUAUUAACUCACAAAGUUAAAGCAUUUGACGAGUAUUAUUUGUCAUUUGGCAAUAAUUUUAGGCAUUUAGCAUAAAGGAUAUGGCAUAUGGCAUAUGGCAUUUGAUAUGUAUUGAAGGCCAGUGCGCCAUGAAUAUUGCCAAAUGUUAAAUGACAAUUAUUUAAUGCAAAAUGCUAAUAACUUAAUGCUAAACACCAAAUACUUAAUGCUAAAAUGCCAAUCACUUAAUGCAAAAUGCCAAAUACACAUGUACUUUAUAUAAAAUGCAACAUACCAAAUGCGAUAUGCCUAUGGAAGGUCAAUGCGCAAUGGUAACAGCAAAAAUGUUAAUGCAAAAAUAAAAAAUGCUAUUUCCAAACUGCUCAACUUCAAAUAUUGGCUUUCGAACGGCAAUUGUCAAUGAUAAAUGCUUUUUGAUAAAACUACAAAUGUCAAAAUACUCAUUGCUCUAUUGAAAUAAAGCGCUGAAUAUAUCAGUUAUAUAAUCAUUGCCCUUCGUUUCAUAACAUUUUUCUCUGUUACAUAGUCUAUUAUAUAAUAAACAUUUUACAGCAAAAUGUUUCGGUUCCAUGUCCCUGUAACAUCUGCAACGUUACUGCUUUAAAUUAGACAGGCAGCACAUUUUUCCAAAAUACGUAAAAGUUACAUUCAUAAGUUGAAGAGAUAAAGAUCAAAAAGAUUGAUAAUUUGAGAAUUACCAUUUAUCAUUUGACAAAAAGAAUUUGUUUUUAUCUUCAUCUUCUCGUUCGCAAAUACAUUGUCAGACCAGUAGCCUUGACGAAACUUCUGGUUUGCCGCAGAUCCUCAAUGCCCCCAUACAGUUUCUGGUGCAUUGAGGUAUCCAUCGGCCAAGUCGCAGCUCGCUCAUGGUCAUGCCUUUUUACAUCUCCGAAGUAUAUGCUCCGCAGUCUGA